rnacentral:lncRNA from 1 species
CACGACAGCCACGCUUUCCCCAGAACCGUGGCGUAACAUGUAAGAUCCCACGUUUGCCCAUAACGCAGCAUAACGCAGCAGUCGGAGUCCCAUACCGUCCCCCAAAAAAGCGGAAACAAGAUCUCACAAAACCACGACAGCCACGCUUUCCCCAGAACCGUGGCGUAACACGCAAGAUCCCACGUUUGCCCAUAACGCGGUAGUCAGAGUCCCAUACCAUCUCGAAGAAAG